GAUGAACGCUGGCGGCGUGCUUAACACAUGCAAGUCGAACGAAGCACUUUAUUUGAUUUCCUUCGGGACUGAUUAUUUUGUGACUGAGUGGCGGACGGGUGAGUAACGCGUGGGUAACCUGCCUUGUACAGGGGGAUAACAGUUGGAAACGGCUGCUAAUACCGCAUAAGCGCACAGCAUCGCAUGAUGCAGUGUGAAAAACUCCGGUGGUAUAAGAUGGACCCGCGUUGGAUUAGCUAGUUGGUGAGGUAACGGCCCACCAAGGCGACGAUCCAUAGCCGACCUGAGAGGGUGACCGGCCACAUUGGGACUGAGACACGGCCCAAACUCCUACGGGAGGCAGCAGUGGGGAAUAUUGCACAAUGGGCGAAAGCCUGAUGCAGCGACGCCGCGUGAGCGAAGAAGUAUUUCGGUAUGUAAAGCUCUAUCAGCAGGGAAGAUAAUGACGGUACCUGACUAAGAAGCAC
rnacentral:rRNA from 1 species